UCUGAGCAGAAGACUUGAGUUGCUACAAUCAUUUUGGAAGCUCCUCUGGUAGGAACUACCAAAAAUGUGACAGCACAGCUGCAGUGGAUUGGGGCAAGACUGGAAAUUACCAUUACUGAGCCUUGACUAUGAACCAGGCAUUCUGUUAAGCUACUCAAUCUUCACCACAACUCUGGGAGGGGCCCCCAGACUCUCUCAGAAUCCACAGACUCUUCCAUAUAAAGAAAAUGAUGUCCACCAGUAUGUUGUGAGAAAGCACCUGAACUAAGAAGGCCUGCUGAAGGUGGACCCCCUGCUAGGUCAUCCUGAGAUCCUAAAAGAGCCAAGGCGAGGCCCCCUGUUUCUUCAGGGACCUGAUGUGUUUUCAGGAGUGGACAUCUCGUG